AUGGGAGGCAGCAGUGGGGAAUAUUGCACAAUGGGGGAAACCCUGAUGCAGCGGCGCCGCGUGAGUGAAGAAGUAUUUCGGUAUGUAAAGCUCUAUCAGCAGGAAAGAAAAUGACGGUACCUGACUAAGAAGCCCCGGCUAACUACGUGCCAGCAGCCGCGGUAAUACGUAGGGGGCAAGCGUUAUCCGGAUUUACUGGGUGUAAAGGGAGCGUAGACGGCUUUGCAAGUCUGAAGUGAAAGCCCGGGGCUCAACCCCGGAACUGCUUUGGAAACUGUAGAGCUGGAGUGCAGGAGAGGUAAGUGGAAUUCCUAGUGUAGCGGUGAAAUGCGUAGAUAUUAGGAGGAACACCAGUGGCGAAGGCGGCUUACUGGACUGUAACUGACGUUGAGGCUCGAAGGCGUGGGGAGCAAACAGGAUUAGAUACCCUGGUA
rnacentral:rRNA from 1 species